UACGUAGGGUGCGAGCGUUAAUCGGAAUUACUGGGCGUAAAGGGCGCGUAGGCGGCCACCGCAAGUCGACUGUGAAAUCUCCGGGCUUAACUCGGAAAGGUCAGCCGAUACUGCGGGGCUAGAGUGCAGAAGGGGCAACUGGAAUUCUCGGUGUAGCGGUGAAAUGCGUAGAUAUCGAGAGGAACACCUGCGGCGAAGGCGGGUUGCUGGGCUGACACUGACGCUGAGGCGCGAAAGCUAGGGGAGCAAACGGG
rnacentral:rRNA from 1 species